rnacentral:rRNA from 1 species
AACGUAGGUUCCGAGCGUUAUCCGGAUUUACUGGGCGUAAAGCGCGUUCAGGCGGUUUGGCAAGUCGGGCAUGAAAUCCCUCGGCUCAACCGGGAGAGGUUGUCCGAUACUGCUGGACUUGAGGGCAGUAGAGGGUGGUGGAAUUCCGGGUGUAGUGGUGAAAUGCGUAGAUAUCCGGAGGAACACCAGUGGCGAAAGCGGCCACCUGGACUGCGCCUGACGCUGACACGCGAAAGCUAGGGGAGCGAACGGG